rnacentral:lncRNA from 1 species
AUGAGGCAUGUAAGUGAGGUCAUAAAGGUCUUACAGGAAUGGUGUCCUUUUAAGAAAAGGAAGAUACACCAGAACUGUCUCUUUACAGGCACAGAAGAAAGGUCAUCUGCAACCAAAGGAGACAGACAUCAACAGACUCUGACUGUACUGGCCAUUGAUCUUGCCUUCCAGUGCCCCACACCUACCUGAAAAAGGAAGGUCUACUGAAUCUCUACUAGUAGACACCAUUGAUCUCCACUGAUUUACAAGAAUAAUAAUGUGAAACCAAUGAAAACAUGAUGGCAUGCAGCACAGACGGAAGGUUAGUAGUUUUCACAGUAUUAUAGUCUGAAAUCCACCUGUCUCAAAACAACUUGUCAAAGUGUUAGAUCUCUUGUCAUCAUUUCAAACCACUUGAUUUGAUGUCUCUAGUAGUGUGUGCCAGGAAUCUGCACUUAACAAGUUGCCUCAUGCCAUUCUGAUCAUUUUUAAGGCUUAAAAGCUACUGCUACGGAUUGGGAUAAGUGAUCAAGUUUGGCUGGAGCUGUCUUUAACCUGAGGAACGAGUGGAUCAGAGAGCAGCUGACCUCACAGAACCAUGGUUCAGUGACUCAUUCAGACGUGUCCUUGAGUAAUUGUUCUGGAUUUCCUCGGUGGUAGCAAAGUGAACUCAUGAGGUACUGGUCCAGAAAAGAACACUAGUGACUAUGCCCAUUGUCUCUACUUAGAAGUGUUUUGGAACCUUGUUUCCCACCCCAGAAUAAGUUGAUGGCAGUUAUGGCAUGGGCUGAUCUACCCAGUCAGCAAGGCCAUACUGCAGAGAAACUCAGAGUCUAAGAAAAUGAAGAAUAUAUCAUUGAGAUUAAUGGCCCUGGGUUGCAGUCAAAAGCAUCUCAGAGGUUAGUUGAGGACAAAAAUAAGUUUGUCUUUCAAUCCAUCACCAGCAGACUAGACACAUUGAAGCAAGAAGUGUUCACAGAAGUGAUAGGGCAUUGAACUAAUGCUUAAAUUUAAUUUAGCCUGUAACUAUUUAUAAAACAUGUCUAGCCUC